UGCCACAGCCACUCAUCAAAACCAAGUUGUAUGAAGUGGCAGAUUUCUCCUAGGGUGUCUGGCCAGCCAUGACCUGCUCCUUUGGUCACCUCCCGAAGUCCAAGAUGAGUUUCAAGAGCCACAUGUCUAUGAGACCCUCCUACCUGGACUUAGCUGACUGCAGCAGGAGGGACAUGUGAUCCAAGCUGGAGCACACAGAAUCUCUCUCCUGGGAUGUGGAGCUGAGAGACACUGAGAUCAGGAGAUGGGAGCUGAUUCCUAUUAAUGACAGGUCUGGAGCGAAGGUGGAACUGCUGGAGAUAAAAGCAAAUGUCUUAGAAGAGCAAGUGUGAUAUGUGGUACGCUAUCAGGAAUAAAUCUCUUCCUGCCAAGCAAGACUGUAAGGCAAUCUGGAACCAGUUACUAAACAAACUUGUUUUAUUUCAAAACAGAAUCACCUGACUUACUUUUCUAUUUAUUUCUUGUCUUGAAUUCUUUUUUGAUAUCAAGAUGCUACUAAUGAAACACAGUGGACCCGAAUUUUCCAGGUUUUCUGCAAGCUCCUACCCCUUGAUUUUGCUUCCUGCUUGUCUCUGGAUCAGGAUGAAGGAUGUUGUCCUUCCUUCCUUCAACCCAUGUUUGUGGAGAUUCUGAUAUGUGGCAGGCACUGGCUUACAUUUGGAUUCAAGCUUUGAUCUGGCUACGCUUCAAGGACCUUAGCUUAGAUUCAGCCUUAAAACAGUCCACUUUGAGUAGGUCCCAGGUAAGUUUGGGCACAAUAGUAGGUCUGAUGGGCUUUUCCAUCUGGAAUAUUUAUUCAAUAAGAAAAUCAUUCACAAAUGUGCUGGAAAGUAUGGAGCUGGCU
rnacentral:lncRNA from 1 species